rnacentral:tRNA from 1 species
UCCCCAAUAGCUCAGCAGGUAAAGCAUAAGACUCUUAAUCUCAGGGUUGUGAGUUCAAGUCCCACGUUGGGCAA